rnacentral:rRNA from 1 species
ACGGGGCGCAGCAGGCGCGAAAACUUCACACUGCAGGAAACUGUGAUGAGGGAACUCCAAGUGCAUCCACUAUGUGGAUGCUUUUUUUGACUAUUAAUCGGUCAACGAAUAAGGGCUGGGAAAGACCGGUGCCAGCAGCCGCGGUAAU